GCCCACCAUGAAGUUGGAGUUGCUAGUAAUCGCGGAUCAGCAUGCCGCGGUGAAUACGUUCCCGGGCCUUGUACACACCGCCCGUCACACCAUGGGAGUUGGGAGCGCCCGAAGCCGGUGAGGUAACCGAGAGGAGCCAGCCGUCGAAGGUGAGACCAAUGACUGGGGUGAAGUCGUAACAAGGUACC
rnacentral:rRNA from 1 species